rnacentral:rRNA from 1 species
GGAAGUGGGGAGUGACGUCAAGUCAGCAUGGCCUUUAUAUCCUGGGCUACACACACGCUACAAUGGAAGGGACAAUAGGUUGCGAAGCCGCGAGGCGGAGCCAAUCCAGCAAACUUCCUCAGUUCAGAUUGCAGGCUGCAACUCGCCUGCAUGAAGUUGGAGUUGCUAGUAAACGCAGGUCAGCCAUACUGCGUUGAAUACGUUCCCGGGCCUU